GCGCGAAAACUUUACAAUGCUGGCAACAGCGAAAGGGAACCUCGAGUGCCAGGUUACAAAUCUGGCUGUCGAGAUGCCUAAAAAGCAUUUCAUAGCAAGGGCCGGGCAAGACCGGUGCCAGCCGCCGCGGUAACACCGGCGGCUCGAGUGGUAACCGUUAUUAUUGGGUCUAAAGGGUCUGUAGCCGGCCGGAUAAGUCUCUUGAGAAAUCUGGCAGCUGAACUGUCAGGCUUUCAGGAGAUACUGGCUGGCUCGAGGCCGGGAGAGGGGAGAGGUACUUCAGGGGUAGGGGUGAAAUCUUGUAAUCCUUGAAGGACCACCAGUGGCGAAGGCGUCUCACCAGAACGGACCUGACGGCAAGGGACGAAAGCUAGGGGCACGAACC
rnacentral:rRNA from 1 species